rnacentral:rRNA from 1 species
CCUACGGGGGGCUGCAGUGGGGAAUAUUGCACAAUGGGCGAAAGCCUGAUGCAGCGACGCCGCGUGAGGGAUGAAGGCCUUCGGGUUGUAAACCUCUUUCAGCAGGGAAGCGGUACCUGCAGAAGAAGCACCGGCUAACUACGUGCCAGCAGCCGCGGUAAUACGUAGGGUGCGAGCGUUGUCCGGAAUUAUUGGGCGUAAAGAGCUUGUAGGCGGUUUGUCGCGUCUGCCGUGAAAAUCCGAGGCUCAACCUCGGACUUGCGGUGGGUACGGGCAGACUAGAGUGUGGUAGGGGAGACUGGAAUUCCUGGUGUAGCGGUGAAAUGCGCAGAUAUCAGGAGGACACCGAUGGCGAAGGCAGUCUCUGGGCCACACUGACGCUGAGAAGCGAAAGCGGGGGAGCGAACAGGAUUAGUACCCUUGUAGUC